AUACGUAUGUCUCAAGCGUUACCGGGAAUCACUGGGUGUAAAGGGUUCGUAGGCGGUUUGAUAAGUUGGAUAUGAAAGACCGGAGCUCAACUCCGUGUUGGUGUUCAAAACUGUCAAACUAGAAUCAGGGAGAGGUAAGCGGAAUUCUAAGUGUAGGGGUGCAAUCCGUAGAUACUCAGAGGAACACCGAAAGCGAAGGCAGCUUACUGGAACUGUAUUGACGCUCAUGAACGAAAGCGUGGGGAGCGAAAAGGAUUAGAAACCCUAGUAGUCC
rnacentral:rRNA from 1 species